rnacentral:rRNA from 1 species
GAUGAACGCUGGCGGCGUGCCUAAUACAUGCAAGUCGAGCGAACAGACGAGGAGCUUGCUCCUCUGACGUUAGCGGCGGACGGGUGAGUAACACGUGGAUAACCUACCUAUAAGACUGGGAUAACUUCGGGAAACCGGAGCUAAUACCGGAUAAUAUAUUGAACCGCAUGGAUCAAUAGUGAAAGACGGUUUUGCUGUCACAUAUAGAUGGAUCCGCGCCGCAUUAGCAAGUUGGCAAGUUAAAGGCUUACCAAGGCGACGAGGCGUAGCCGAACUGAGAGGGUGUCCAGCCACACUUGAGCUGGAGCACCGUCCGGACUCCUACGGGGGUCCCCCUUAGCCACUCCUCCGCUAUGCGCCUUAGCCUGACCGCGCGACCCCGCGUCAGUCAUCAUGGUCUUCGCAUCGUACGGCUCUUUUAUUAGCAAAGCACAAUUGUGUGCGUAACUGUGCUCGUCUUGACGGUCCCUAGCCAUAAAGCCCCGGCUAACUUCGUG